UACGAAGGGGGCUAGCGUUGCUCGGAAUCACUGGGCGUAAAGCGCACGUAGGCGGCUUUUUAAGUCAGGGGUGAAAUCCUGGAGCUCAACUCCAGAACUGCCUUUGAUACUGAGAAGCUUGAGUCCGGGAGAGGUGAGUGGAACUGCGAGUGUAGAGGUGAAAUUCGUAGAUAUUCGCAAGAACACCAGUGGCGAAGGCGGCUCACUGGCCCGGUACUGACGCUGAGGUGCGAAAGCGUGGGGAGCAACCAGG
rnacentral:rRNA from 1 species